rnacentral:lncRNA from 1 species
AAAAAAGUGAAGAUUCUGAGCAAAUGGGCAAGACUAAACUACAAAAAAUCAAAUCUUUUUCAUGAAUUGAAUAAAAAACCCCAUAAAAACCAAAUCUUGAAGCAAAAAACUGAUUAAACAAGUGAAGAUUCUGAGCAGAUGGGCAAGACUAAAACCACAAAAAAAAUCGAUCUUUUUUAUGAAUUAAAUCAAAAAAACACCAGAAUAACAAAAUCUUGAAGCAAAAAGAACUGAUUAAAGAAGUUACAUUGAUACACACAACCUUAAAAACAAAAAAAAAAACAGUCCACAUCAAGAACUUAGAACAAAUGAUCCUCAAGAAACAACAACAACAACAACAACAUCAUACCCAGUGAAAUUCCACAAGUGAGGGAUCCUCAAGAAACAAGCAAACAUAAAAUAAAUUUUGGAUCUUUAUAACAUAAACCAAAGAUUAGCAGAAAAUUACCCUAAGAUUAAUUAGCAGCUAUGACUGUCAAAAAAAAACAAGUAGCUGCUUCAUUCUCUGUUACCCCAUUUCCUUUCUUGUUCAUCCUUUGUCAUUCACUCUCUCUAGUUGGUACUGUGUCAAUGUGACAAUCUGUAAAAAUAAAAAGUACUUAGACAAAUAUGAAAGAACUGCUCCUUUGAAUAUUAGUAG